rnacentral:rRNA from 1 species
UACGUAGGGUGCAAGCGUUAAUCGGAAUUACUGGGCGUAAAGCGUGCGCAGGCGGUUUUGUAAGCCAGAUGUGAAAGCCCCGGGCUUAACCUGGGAACUGCAUUUGUGACUGCAUGGCUGGAGUGCGGCAGAGGGGGAUGGAAUUCCGCGUGUAGCAGUGAAAUGCGUAGAUAUGCGGAGGAACACCGAUGGCGAAGGCAGCCUCCUGGGCCAGCACUGACGCUCAUGCACGAAAGCGUGGGGAGCAAACAGG